UCUCCUCCCGCGGCCUCAGCCUCCACCCGGGGCUCUGUCCGGACCAGGAGGCUAAGGCCCCUCACGGCGGC
rfam:Canis lupus familiaris chromosome 8, whole genome shotgun sequence.